rnacentral:rRNA from 1 species
CAACCUGCCUCAUACUCGGGGAUAGCCUUUCGAAAGAAAGAUUAAUAUCCGAUAGCAUAUAUUUCCCGCAUGGGUUUUAUAUUAAAGAAAUUCGGUAUGAGAUGGGGAUGCGUUCCAUUAGUUUGUUGGGGGGGUAACGGCCCACCAAGACUACGAUGGAUAGGGGUUCUGAGAGGAAGGUCCCCCACAUUGGAACUGAGACACGGUCCAAACUCCUACGGGAGGCAGCAGUGAGGAAUAUUGGUCAAUGGGCGAGAGCCUGAACCAGCCAAGUAGCGUGAAGGAUGACUGCCCUAUGGGUUGUAAACUUCUUUUAUAAAGGAAUAAAGUCGGGUAUGCAUACCCGUUUGCAUGUACUUUAUGAAUAAGGAUCGGCUAACUCCGUGCCAGCAGCCGCGGUAAUACGGAGGAUCCGAGCGUUAUCCGGAUUUAUUGGGUUUAAAGGGAGCGUAGGCGGAUUGUUAAGUCAGUUGUGAAAGUUUGCGGCUCAACCGUAAAAUUGCAGUUGAUACUGGCAGUCUUGAGUGCAGUAGAGGUGGGCGGAAUUCGUGGUGUAGCGGUGAAAUGCUUAGAUAUCACGAAGAACUCCGAUUG